AACCUGGUGGUGAAAUGAAUCACACCCAUUGUCGUUGAAAAAGAGCAACAACAACUUAUUUGUGGGAGAUUCCUGGUUCGAGUCCGGGUCAGGUCA